AGACGUGCAGACCACAAGACACUGCCUCCACUUACUUCAAAUGUGUCUGGAUGUGUGGACUACCGUAAGGGACCUCAUGAAUAGCGACAGCAACACCAAUGAAGAUGCUGCCUCUGAAGCCCCGAAUGUAACUGCAUAAGCCCAUGGAUCAGUAUCAGUAUCAGUAUCACCCUUCAUUCACUCCGGACACAGCACAGCAGGACUCCUCCUACACACACAAACUAUACACAUUUUGACCUAAACCUAAAACACAACCAAUGUUGCAAGAACUGAAGAACUCUUCAGGUUCCAAUGCAAGUCAUUUGAGAGUACAAAGAACAGAACACAUAACUGAUGGAAUUAAACCUAAAGAACAGGACGAUCAGGACAUAUCAACCAAGGGACAACAAUUGUCAGCUCACUUCUCAGUAUGAUU